rfam:Camelus ferus unplaced genomic scaffold scaffold288, whole genome shotgun sequence.
GAGGGUAUAGUUCAAGUGGUAGAGCGCAUACUUAGCAUGCAUAAGGUCCUGGGCUCAAUCCCCAGUACCUCCU